rnacentral:rRNA from 1 species
CCUACGGGAGGCAGCAGUGAGGAAUAUUGGUCAAUGGACGAGAGUCUGAACCAGCCAAGUAGCGUGAAGGAUGACUGCCCUAUGGGUUGUAAACUUCUUUUAUAUGGGAAUAAAAUGUUCCACGUGUGGGAUUUUGUAUGUACCCUAUGAAUAAGGAUCGGCUAACUCCGUGCCAGCAGCCGCGGUAAUACGGAGGAUCCGAGCGUUAUCCGGAUUUAUUGGGUGUAAAGGGAGCGUAGGUGGAUUGUUAAGUCAGUUGUGAAAGUUUGCGGCUCAACCGUAAAAUUGCAGUUGAAACUGGCAGUCUUGAGUACAGUAGAGGUGGGCGGAAUUCGUGGUGUAGCGGUGAAAUGCUUAGAUAUCACGAAGAACUCCGAUUGCGAAGGCAGUUCACUGGACUGCAACUGACACUGAGGCUCGAAAGUGUGGGUAUCAAACAGGAUUAGAUACCCCUGUAGUC